rnacentral:rRNA from 1 species
CCUACGGGUGGCUGCAGUGGGGAAUAUUGCACAAUGGGCGCAAGCCUGAUGCAGCGACGCCGCGUGGGGGAUGACGGCCUUCGGGUUGUAAACCUCUUUCAGCACAGACGAAGCGCAAGUGACGGUAUGUGCAGAAGAAGGACCGGCCAACUACGUGCCAGCAGCCGCGGUAAUACGUAGGGUCCGAGCGUUGUCCGGAAUUACUGGGCGUAAAGAGCUCGUAGGUGGUUUGUCGCGUUGUCCGUGAAAUCUCACAGCUUAACUGUGAGCGUGCGGUCGAUACGGGCAGACUGGAGUACUGCAGGGGAGACUGGAAUUCCUGGUGUAGCGGUGGAAUGCGCAGAUAUCAGGAGGAACACCGGUGGCGAAGGCGGGUCUCUGGGCAGUAACUGACGCUGAGGAGCGAAAGCGUGGGGAGCGAACAGGAUUAGAUACCCUAGUAGUC